rnacentral:rRNA from 1 species
UGAGGAAUAUUGGUCAAUGGACGCAAGUCUGAACCAGCCAUGCCGCGUGCAGGAUGACGGCUCUAUGAGUUGUAAACUGCUUUUGUACGAGGGUAAACUCACCUACGUGUAGGUGACUGAAAGUAUCGUACGAAUAAGGAUCGGCUAACUCCGUGCCAGCAGCCGCGGUAAUACGGAGGAUUCAAGCGUUAUCCGGAUUUAUUGGGUUUAAAGGGUGCGUAGGCGGUUAGAUAAGUUAGAGGUGAAAUCCCGGGGCUUAACUCCGAAAUUGCCUCUAAUACUGUUUGACUAGAGAGUAGUUGCGGUAGGCGGAAUGUAUGGUGUAGCGGUGAAAUGCUUAGAGAUCAUACAGAACACCGAUUGCGAAGGCAGCUUACCAAACUAUAUCUGACGUUGAGGCACGAAAGCGUGGGGAGCAAACA